rnacentral:rRNA from 1 species
GACGAACGCUGGCGGCGCGCCUAAUACAUGCAAGUAGAACGCUGAAGGAGGAGCUUGCUUCUCUGGAUGAGUUGCGAACGGGUGAGUAACGCGUAGGUAACCUGCCUGGUAGCGGGGGAUAACUAUUGGAAACGAUAGCUAAUACCGCAUAAUAUUGACUAUUGCAUGAUAGUCAGUUGAAAGGUGCAACUGCACCACUACCAGAUGGACCUGCGUUGUAUUAGCUAGUUGGUGGGGUAACGGCUCACCAAGGCGACGAUACAUAGCCGACCUGAGAGGGUGAUCGGCCACACUGGGACUGAGACACGGCCCAGACUCCUACGGGAGGCAGCAGUAGGGAAUCUUCGGCAAUGGACGGAAGUCUGACCGAGCAACGCCGCGUGAGUGAAGAAGGUUUUCGGAUCGUAAAGCUCUGUUGUAAGAGAAGAACGAGUGUGAGAGUGGAAAGCUCACACUGUGACGGUAUCUUACCAGAAAGGGACGGCUAACUACGUG